CCGGUAAACGGCGGCCGUAACUAUAACGGUCCUAAGGUAGCGAAAUUCCUUGUCGGGUAAGUUCCGACCUGCACGAAUGGCGUAAUGAUGGCCAGGCUGUCUCCACCCGAGACUCAGUGAAAUUGAACUCGCUGUGAAGAUGCAGUGUACCCGCGGCAAGACGGAAAGACCCCGUGAACCUUUACUAUAGCUUGACACUGAACAUUGAGCCUUGAUGUGUAGGAUAGGUGGGAGGCUUUGAAGUGUGGACGCCAGUCUGCAUGGAGCCGACCUUGAAAUACCACCCUUUAAUGUUUGAUGUUCUAACGUUGGCCCCUGAUCGGGGUUGCGGACAGUGUCUGGUGGGUAGUUUGACUGGGGCGGUCUCCUCCUAAAGAGUAACGGAGGAGCACGAAGGUUGGCUAAUCCUGGUCGGACAUCAGGAGGUUAGUGCAAUGGCAUAAGCCAGCUUGACUGCGAGCGUGACGGCGCGAGCAGGUGCGAAAGCAGGUCAUAGUGAUCCGGUGGUUCUGAAUGGAAGGGCCAUCGCUCAACGGAUAAAAGGUACUCCGGGGAUAACAGGCUGAUACCGCCCAAGAGUUCAUAUCGACGGCGGUGUUUGGCACCUCGAUGUCGGCUCAUCACAUCCUGGGGCUGAAGUAGGUCCCAAGGGUAUGGCUGUUCGCCAUUUAAAGUGGUACGCGAGCUGGGUUUAGAACGUCGUGAGACAGUUCGGUCCCUAUCUGCCGUGGGCGCUGGAGAACUGAGGGGGGCUGCUCCUAGUACGAGAGGACCGGAGUGGACGCAUCACUGGUGUUCGGGUUGUCAUGCCAAUGGCACUGCCCGGUAGCUAAAUGCGGAAGAGAUAAGUGCUGAAAGCAUCUAAGCACGAAACUUGCCCCGAGAUGAGUUCUCCCUGACUCCUUGAGAGUCCUGAAGGAACGUUGAAGACGACGACGUUGAUAGGCCGGGUGUGUAAG
rnacentral:rRNA from 1 species